GUGAUUUUUAGAAUAAGCUACAAUAGAGAAAUUCAAGGAGACCAAGAGACCACUGUAUACUCCUUCUUAUCGUGGUUGAUCGAAUCGCGGUCUAUAUCCUGAACUCUUUGAGGAGACCAAGAGAUCAAUACACCAACCUCAUAGUGAUGCUUAACAGAGCAUGGGCUCGCUUCUAUCAACAUCACUCAGGUGAAUUCAAGGUGUAACUUGAUAUCAAGCCUGAAUUCCCGGUAUGUAUUGAAUUUGCACAUCUGUGUCACUUCCUUGAACACAACAGAUAUUUCAUAAGUUCUUUUGCGAUAUAUACAGUGUCUGAGACAUGACCCAGGGAAUAAUUUAUGCGGAUACUACGUAUGUGAGUUCAUCCAUAGCUUUGUAGGUCCCAAGCGUGUGACCGACCACGAACUCAGAG
rnacentral:lncRNA from 1 species